rnacentral:rRNA from 1 species
UAGGGAAUCUUCGGCAAUGGACGAAAGUCUGACCGAGCAACGCCGCGUGAGUGAAGAAGGUUUUCGGAUCGUAAAACUCUGUUGUUAGAGAAGAACAAGGACGUUAGUAACUGAACGUCCCCUGACGGUAUCUAACCAGAAAGCCACGGCUAACUACCCG